rnacentral:rRNA from 1 species
GAUGAACGCUGGCGGCGUGCUUAACACAUGCAAGUCGAACGAAGCAAUUUGACGGAAGCCUUCGGGUGGAAGUUGAAUUGACUGAGUGGCGGACGGGUGAGUAACGCGUGGGUAACCUGCCUCAUACAGGGGGAUAACAGCUAGAAAUAGCUGCUAAUACCGCAUAAGCGCACAGUAUCGCAUGAUACAGUGUGAAAAAACUCCGGUGGUAUGAGAUGGACCCGCGUCUGAUUAGCUAGUUGGUGAGGUAAUGGCUCACCAAGGCGACGAUCAGUAGCCGGCCUGAGAGGGUGGACGGCCACAUUGGGACUGAGACACGGCCCAAACUCCUACGGGAGGCAG